rnacentral:misc_RNA from 1 species
GUUUCACAAGCAAUUGAAUGUGGGAAGAGUGAAAGUGAGAUGCUUGAUGGCUGCCGUGCAUUGUUAUCAAUGGCAACUGUAACUACUCCCUUUGUGUUUGACCAACUCUUGAAAUCCGUAAGGCCCUUUGGCACUCUUACCCUAUUAUCCACCUUGAUGUGUGAAGUUAUCAAAGUUCUCAUGAAAAAUAACACUGAUGAGGAGACAUGGAGCUGGGAGGCACGUGAUAUCUUAUUAGAUACCUGG